rnacentral:rRNA from 1 species
CGUACAAGGUUUCCGUAGGUGAACCUGCGGAAGGAUCAUUAAAUUCAGUAGCUUGCUACUGGUCGGGAGGCGCUGUAACUCCGCAUAGUAAAUAAACCUACUGAUGAGCGGCUGGCCCUCUGUCUGGACCCUUGUCUUUUGCGCACUCAUGUUUCCUCGGCGGGCUUGCCCGCCGAUUGGACAAACCUAUAACCUUUUUAAUUUUUAACUCAGCGUCUGAAAAAACUUAAUAAUUACAACUUUCAACAACGGAUCUCUUGGUUCUGGCAUCGAUGAAGAACGCAGCGAAAUGCGAUAAGUAGUGUGAAUUGCAGAAUUCAGUGAAUCAUCGAAUCUUUGAACGCACAUUGCGCCCCUUGGUAUUCCAUGGGGCAUGCCUGUUCGAGCGUCAUUUGUACCCUCAAGCUCUGCUUGGUGUUGGGUGUUUGUCCUCUCCUCUGCGUUUGGACUCGCCUUAAAGCAAUUGGCAGCCAGUGUUUUGGUAUUGAAGCGCAGCACAUUUUGCGAUUCUAGCCUAUAACACUUGCGUCCAUAAGCCUUUUUUAACUUUUGACCUCGGAUCAGGUAGGGAUACCCGCUGAACUUAAGCAUAUCA